GAAAUGCUGCUGGAAUUUUGGAACACAGGCUGAAGCAAAGUAAUGUUCGCACGGUCAGGGGGAGCUCUGUUAGAGCCGAAGUUCUGUGAUGCAGAUGAUCCAGAAUUCCUAAAUCUGUGCAGAGUGGCCCUUUCCCUGAGCAACCACCAGACUGGAUGAUGAAGGCAGAGGCAAAAUCAAACUGAAAGUGAAGCGAGUUUGGUUUGAUGGAAUUAUAACUCCUAGUGUUCUGGGAAAGGAACAAUGAUGCCUCUUCUAUGGCAUGUGUGAUGAUGCACCACUGUCAGCUCUCACAUGACAGGCACCUCAGCACUGGCUGCAAAUAUGGGUUCAGCUCAGUCCUCAGAGAAGCAUUUUGGUGGUGUUUCCUAUUCAUAUUUCUCAGUUCUGUGGAGUUUGUGAGACUUGUGGCCAGCUUCACAACACAAAAGCAUUCUUGGAAGGGUAGACAGUCC
rnacentral:lncRNA from 1 species